AUAGAUCGAGAUCACUCACCAAGGAGCAGUAAUUGCAGGGAAUCAAUGUAGCGGGUCUUUUCAUGCAAAGGCUGCAGUGGGUUUGACGGCACUCAGGGGCCAAAACAGCCGCAAAUGGCUCUUCACAAAUUAGAACUUCACCUGAAUUACAAAGUAGGGUUCCUGAUGGAGAAGCUGUUGUACUUUGUUGACCAUUUCUUCAAGUGGAGCAGCAAGUUCUUUUUUCUGCACUCGAUGACGCGGCAGUUGAAGUCGGCAGUAGCAGCCUUGUUCAUUUCGGCCAGCGAAUGUGAAAUCACAAACACUGCGUUCGGAGGCGUGUGAAGUGCAAAGGGCCGCAGAGCAGACUAGAGCACUGGAGCUGGACAAUCCUGAACUGGGAGGGAUAUUCCCGAAAACAACCACUCGAAGGCCUUUUAACUUCUGGGGCAGGACGUUCUCCAAAACGCCCUUGACCCCACACAUGAAAUACUGGUGCCACUGAGGAGCUCCCAACACCUCUAUCCUUUAAUUAUUUCAAAAAAAUUAAAAUAAAUACACAAUA